rnacentral:lncRNA from 1 species
CAAAUUCUAUAAAUCUAAAUUCCCCCAAAGGGAAUAAGAGUUGUUUUCCCCAUAAUGUCGUAAACACAUUGCUCUUUACAAAAAGGGGGCGAGGACCUCAUGGCGACUCUGCUGGGGAUUUCUUUAGGCUUUUACCAUUACAUGCUUUGUGUGACUUUACUGCUUCCUUAAUUGCCUUUAUUUCUUGCCUUUAGUUAUUUCAUCAUGGAAACUAACUUGACGCUUCAUGUCUUUCCUUUCCUUUAACUAUUUUAUUACUAUUUCAAUAUAGCAACACUUAUAAUGGGUGGUUGGGCUCUUCC